rnacentral:rRNA from 1 species
UACGUAGGGUGCGAGCGUUGCCCGGAUUUAUUGGGCGUAAAGGGCGCGUAGGCGGUGCCGUACGUCCGUUGUGAAAUCGCUCGGCUCAACUGGGCGGGGUCAGCGGAUACGGUGGCACUUGAGCAAGCUAGGGGGCAAUGGAAUUCCCGGUGUAGUGGUGGAAUGCGUAGAGAUCCGGAAGAACACCGGUGGCGAAGGCGGCCUGCUGGGCUACUGCUGACACUGAUGCGCGACAGCGUGGGGAGCAAACAGG